GACGAGGGGUCCUAGCGUUGUUCGGAAUUACUGGGCGUAAAGCGUAUGUAGGCGGCUGAAUAAGUCAGAUGUGAAAGCCCGGGGCUUAACCCCGGAAGUGCAUUUGAUACUGUUUAGCUUGAAUGUGGGAGAGGAUAGCAGAAUUCCCGGUGUAGUGGUGAAAUACGUAGAUAUCGGGAGGAAUACCAGUGGCGAAGGCGGCUAUCUGGACCAACAUUGACGCUGAGAUACGAAAGCGUGGGGAUCAAACAGG
rnacentral:misc_RNA from 1 species